CCGGUAGUGUGACUGCAAACCCUUAGUGCCGUCCGCUGAGGAUGGCUUUUCUCUGCUGUAAGAAGGCGGAGGAAUAAGGAGAGGGCAAGUCUGGUGUCAGCCGCCGCGGUAAUACCAGCUCUCCGAGUGGUAGGGAUGAUUAUUGGGCCUAAAGCGUUCGUAGCCGGCCUUCCAAGUCUUUCGUUAAAUCCAGCGAUUCAAUCGUUGGACUGCGGGAGAUACUGUUAGGCUAGGGGGCGGGAGAAGCCGACGGUAUUUCUGGGGUAGGGGUAAAAUCCUAUAAUCCCAGGAGGACCACCAGUGGCGUAGGCGGUCGGCUAGCACGCGCUCGACGGUGAGGGACGAAAGCUGGGGGAGCAAACCGGAUUAGAUACCCGGGUAGUCCCAGCUGUAAACGAUGCGGGCUAGGUGUUGGAGCGGCUACGAGCCGCUUCAGUGCCGCAGGGAAGCCAUUAAGCCCGCCGCCUGGGGAGUACGGCCGCAAGGCUGAAACUUAAAGGAAUUGGCG
rnacentral:rRNA from 1 species